UCCCUGGUAGUAUAUCGGUUAGUACACGCGCCUGUCAUCCUGCAUGAUCGCGCGAAAGCGGGGUUCGACUCCCCGCCAGGGAG
rnacentral:tRNA from 1 species